CAAUAGGUGAGGUGUCAGAGAGACUAUAAAAUACCCAGCACUGAAGUUACUCUAGUCUCUUAAACAUGCAAGUCUUGAAGGUGUUAAGAGAGACGUCAGGCGGUGCGUACGGAAUGCUCGAAGCUGAAAUCUCCCCAGACCUCUCUAAAGGGGGCUGGCCGAGCUGGGAGGAGGUGGAGAUGAAGAUGAGGUGAUAGGAUUCAGCUGGGCGCCCCAGCCACGGAGCACCGGCUGGGGCGCCAUCUACGAGCGUGUAGCGCUGUUGUAGUAGAAGCGAUGUCUUCUUUGUUUGCCUUGGACUUGUAUGCACCCAUCACCAUGGGAGCAUACGAGUUAUUUUUGCAGCGUGUCAAGGCAAACAAUUACGACUUGGUGUUCCCUGUUUCUUAUCUGAGUGUACACGAUGAUCCGACUGGAACCCAUCGUUCCAUCUUUACAGUCUUCGUCAGGUCAAAAGUUUCAAAACCCACAGCAUUACAUAAAGGAGAGUCCCCCAAAGUACAUUACCAUCCAUCAAGGAGACAACUUAGCAAGUCAAGACAACACUAUUUCCGACAAUUCUAAUCAUCUUUGGGGAGAAAUAAAAGACCCUGACUUGCACAAACAGAGUCUGCCAUUAACUGUACCUCUUCAAUGGAAUAAUAUUGUGGAAAAUCUUCCAUUAGAUGACAGAUUAGGUAUAUCAGAGUCUAAUCUCAAUAACUCUGGUUCCGACACUUCUAGCAAUUUAACAAAUAAAAGCACUGGGUAACUGAAUACAGUUUUCUGAAGUCCCCAGUCAACUUUAGUUUCGAAGAGAAGCAGUGUUCAUCAGCUUCUGUUGAAUUGUUAGAAGUGAGAACGAACAUGACCAAGAGUAUUAAAAGGCAAACUCAUCCAUUCAAAAUAAAUAAAGAGUAUAUAUGAAAAUAAUAGUUACGAAAGGUCGCAUUAGAUGAGCUAGGAAUACACACAGAUAAGAGACUGAAAAAAACUAUGUAAAUAGUAGUGUUAUCAUGUUGAUACUUAAUGCAGUAUUUCUGAAUGUUUAUUUUUUUGUGUGUUUAAAUAAGUAACUCAUAAACCGUUUAACAUUUUUGAUAAUAGAUUAUGUUUGCUCUCUCUCUCUCUCUCCUCUCUCUCUGUUUGCUCUCUCUCUCUCUUUUCCUUUUUUUCAUCCUCUCGUUAAAAAAAUAAAUAAAUUAUGCUAUGAAAUCU